rnacentral:misc_RNA from 1 species
GUUGGUGAACCAGCGGAGGGAUCAUUACAGAGUUGCAAAACUCCCAAAACCCUUUGUGAACAUACCUAUAUCUGUUGCUUCGGCAGGCAGCCCCAGGGCGGGGCUUUCAGCCGCAAGGCGCCUGCCGGAGGACCAAAAACUCUUAUAUAUUUUAGUGUAUAUUCUGAGCUACAAACAAAAAAUAAGUCAAAACUUUCAGCAACGGAUCUCUUGGUUCUG